rnacentral:miRNA from 1 species
UGGCUCAGUUCAGCAG